rnacentral:rRNA from 1 species
CAUGCAAGUCGAACGAGCGAGAGAGAGCUUGCUUUCUCAAGCGAGUGGCGAACGGGUGAGUAACGCGUGAGGAACCUGCCUCAAAGAGGGGGACAACAGUUGGAAACGACUGCUAAUACCGCAUAAGCCCACAGGUCGGCAUCGACCAGAGGGAAAAGGAGCAAUCCGCUUUGAGAUGGCCUCGCGUCCGAUUAGCUAGUUGGUGAGGUAACGGCCCACCAAGGCAACGAUCGGUAGCCGGACUGAGAGGUUGAACGGCCACAUUGGGACUGAGACACGGCCCAGACUCCUACGGGAGGCAGCAGUGGGGAAUAUUGCACAAUGGGGGAAACCCUGAUGCAGCGACGCCGCGUGGAGGAAGAAGGUCUUCGGAUUGUAAACUCCUGUUGUUGAGGAAGAUAAUGACGGUACUCAACAAGGAAGUGACGGCUAACUACGUGCCAGCAGCCGCGGUAAAACGUAGGUCACAAGCGUUGUCCGGAAUUACUGGGUGUAAAGGGAGCGCAGGCGGGAAGACAAGUUGGAAGUGAAAUCUAUGGGCUCAACCCAUAAACUGCUUUCAAAACUGUUUUUCUUGAGUAGUGCAGAGGUAGGCGGAAUUCCCGGUGUAGCGGUGGAAUGCGUAGAUAUCGGGAGGAACACCAGUGGCGAAGGCGGCCUACUGGGCACCAACUGACGCUGAGGCUCGAAAGUGUGGGUAGCAA